rnacentral:lncRNA from 1 species
CGAGAAAUGUUACAAAAACUCACAAUAUUGAGGUAGUGAGGUCGACUGAUUCGAGGUCCGAAAGACAAUGUUUGGAAAUUGGAAGCCACCUCCAUUGUUAAUAUUACAAUUCAAGUCAUAAACUGCUCAACUAUGUAUAUGCACCAACAGAGACGACAAAUCAUCGGUUAAUAUAGACAUAUCUCAUUGAAAAACUACAAGAAGAAUUUAGAACGGAGAUUUAAUUUACCUGUCGAAUAUUUGGUCGAAGAGGACAGAGCUCUAUCUUUGUACUGAGUAUCGCUAUGAUGAGGAAGGUAUAUUGACUUUAUAUCUCCGGUAAGGUCACGAAAUCGGGAACACGACACUGACACAAAACCUCAGUGGAUUGAAACUGGUAGUUGGGCUUAUGAAAAAGU